CCCCCACCCACCCACUCACCACCACACACCCCGUGGUGCCCGAAGCAGUUUUCUUCCACCAGCUCGCGAUCCGCAUUCGGGCGCCGGUCUGUUCUUCCCAUCGCUCCCCGGCUCGCGAUCCGUUUCCUGAGGCCGCUUCGCCGAUCCGGGGACUAGCACCGCCUGCCGCCAGCUGCUGGCCAGCCCCUGCAUUCCCGACACCGCCGUUGCCCUCGCCGUCGACCAGGACAGCAGUGCCCCUGCCACCGCCGUUGCCCUCGAUGUCGAUCUCGCGUCUAACCCGGCAACAAGCUUCCCCCUGCCCCCGCCAGAUCCGGCACCUAACUCCCCGCGCCCAACCCCUCUCCCCCCAAGCCAGCGCUCGACAUCCCACUUCUGCGCUUGAACCCCCUCCCCCCGCGCUGGAUUUUGCGUGUUCCACGGAGGCCCCGAGCUCGUAUUCUGUCGGCUGUUUUCCAUCUUUCCAUCCCUAUCUCGCCUGGGUUUGGAGACAGAUUUGCGGCGUUGAAGAUCGGCGGCGCCAGGUUUCUAUCUUUUUCCUUCGCCGUGGAUUUGACUGGAUAAAUGAGACGUGAAGCCCUCCUGCGCAAGGAUGAAUUCUCGAAGAAGAUUAGUGCACAUGAUUCAUAUCAAUCCGAGGAGUGUGGUCUUUGAGAGCUCCCACGAGGUGUUUGUGGUUCCCCUCCAUGAUCAGGGAGGGCUGGUUGUAGGGAUGUCAAAGUCAGAAGAAUGGUGGAAAAUGUUGUACUAGACUUAGUAUUAGGUGCAACCCUGGAGAUGUGGUAUUGAGAAUUCAAUUGCUCAAUCCUGAUCAGUAUGUGGCCAUCGAGGCUCUCGGUUUUGGUCACUGGGACGGAAGCAGUUAAGUUUAGGAAUCAGCUGAUUCAGGACCUGCAGGAGGAGAUCUUGAAGGGACAGCCGGACAACCUUAGCUGCAUCCUUCUUCAUGAUUCUUUUCAACUGGUUUUUGUUCCCCACAAGUAGCUAUAACAUUGAUUUGAGCCAGAUCAAAAGGGCAAUGCAUCCUGAAACUUUCUGUGGAAUAGACUGUGCCCAAGCUGUAUUCCAUGAAUAGUUUGUAGUUCGUAGAUGGCAAAGAAUUGUCCCAAAUAAUUUAUGUCUGCACUUGUCUCCUGAUCAUAAGUUUUCUUCGGACCGAAUUAGGUGCAGGGAUAGAGCCGAUACGUACAGCUUCCAACCAUUUAAGAGCUGGGCAAGAACUUGUUACGUUGCAGCUGACAGUGCACCGGAUGAAUUUUGCAAAUGGACAUGAAGUGCAUCAGAGAAGGUGGCCUGUUAUUAUUGAUUAGUUCAGAUAAAGUCCCUCGCUGGUGAUGGCAUCUUGAUAAAUUUUCUUUUCCUCGCACAAUUGACACAAAGGUGACAAUCUAGUGGUGAAGGCUUGCUCAAGAAAUGGGCACAACCAAUAGCAUCUCAAACUCUGGCUAACUCUGGCUAACAUAGGCAAAGAGCUAGUCUUUCACUUUGGUUGAUAAGAAUUCCGAUGGCUGAGUUCUGGGAAAUUGAUUUGCGAAGUCUAGUCAAGAGCAUCUAGGCGGGGAUGUAAAGUAUAUGGGCCUGGUACCCAUAUCCUGCUAGUAGCAUAGUGCACAUUUUUCCUUAUGACGAAUCUAGUAUUUGGUGCAACAGAUAUUCGCUGUCUGAUCAUAUUUGCCAACUUUUCCUGCAGCAUUUAUUUCACUAUUUACUGACACGUCAAUUUAGCAAAGCAUAAACAUUUCUUCUUUGGAAUGUAAAUCAUUCAGCCAUGUGCAGAAUGACAUGGACUUCCGACAGAAAAGUGCAGAGCGUGGACACGUGCCCCAGCAAUACUUGCUGGGCCCACCACUUGGCAACUAUCGUCUUUCAUGCGCAUCAAACAAGCAGGUUGGCCGGUUGCUCGGGGAAGGAAAAAAACCAAGGCGCGUGUAAAGAAAAAAAAACCGCUUGCGGUGGCUUCGGCCCGGCGCUCGAGGGACGGAUGGUGUGCUCGGGUAGGGAAUAGUUAUUUCAUACC